AGGCCAGUAGUUCAACUGGUAGAGCACCGGUCUCCAAAACCGGGGGUUGGGGGUUCGAUUCCCUCCUGGCCUGCCA
rnacentral:tRNA from 1 species